rnacentral:tRNA from 1 species
GGUCAUGGCUCAGUGGUAGAGUGCUUGUCUAGCACAUGUGAGGCACUGGGUUUGAUUCUCAGCACCA